GAUGAACGCUCGCUACGGGCUUAACACAUGCAAGUCGCGGGGCAUCAUGGAGGUUGCUUGCAAUUUCUGAUGGCGACCGGCGCACGGGUGAGUAACGCGUAUCCAACCUUCCCAUUACUACGGCAUACCCCGUUGAAAGGCGGCCUAAUUCCGUAUGCAGUCCGAAGCAGUCAUCUAAUUUGGACGAAAGGUAUAUUCUAUCGGUAAUGGAUGGGGAUGCGUCCGAUUAGCCAGCCGGCGGGGUAACGGCCCACCGGGGCAUUGAUCGGUAGGGGUUCUGAGAGGAAGGUCCCCCACACUGGAACUGAGACACGGUCCAGACUCCUACGGGAGGCAGCAGUGAGGAAUAUUGGUCAAUGGGCGUAAGCCUGAACCAGCCAAGUAGCGUGCAGGAUGACGGCCCUAUGGGUUGUAAACUGCUUUUAUGCGGGGAUAAAGUUGGGGACGUGUCCCUUUUUGCAGGUACCGCAUGAAUAACGACCGGCUAAUUCCGUGCCAGCAGCCGCGGUAAUACGGAAAGUCCGGGCGUUAUCCGGAUUUAUUGGGUUUAAAGGGAGCGUAGGCAGUUUUUUAAGCGUGCUGUGAAAUGUACCGGCUCAACCGGUGAUGUGCAGCGCGAACUGGGAAUCUUGAGUACGCAGUAAGCACGCGGAAUUCGUGGUGUAGCGGUGAAAUGCUUAGAUAUCACGAAGAACUCCGAUUGCGUAGGCUGCUCGCUGUAGCGUAACUGUCGCUGAAGCUCGAAAGCGCGGGUAUCUAACAGGAUUACAUACUCUGGUAGUCCAAGGGAGAACUCCACAGUGGAUAUCACUCUUAUCGAUCCCUCGACCUCGAGGGGGGCGCCCUGCACCCAUCUUUUGUCCCUUUAGUAGAGGGUAUUAAUA
rnacentral:rRNA from 1 species